GCGGACUGUUCUAUAUGAAGCAAUUGAGUUUCUUUGGUGACCAUGAAAUGUUUUCUUGAAUCAAAGAGGAUGCCUCUAUGUCCAUAUUUAUUGACAGUUAGCAUUUGGUCAUCCCUUGGAAGGGACUGAGAUAACUGGCAAUCAGGUAGAGAAUUCUUGGAGAAUCGAUGGUCAGAGAGCUCAAAAACUUUAUUUUUUUCCUCAUCAGAAAAACGCACAUGCGUUGCAGGAUCAGGCACGCCUUGAAACCAUUGAGAAAUCAACAAUAGAUGAUGAAAUCUUGUAAAUUCUCAGUUUGUGGAAAGGUUUUAAACCAGGCUCUUGAUUUGCUUUCAAGUGUAAGAAUUUCUUAAAGGAAAUCUUUAUAGAGGUUGAAUUAUUUGCUAGUCAUCGCCUGGAUUUGUACUCACAGCUCACUCGUAUUGUCUGAAUAAUAACCAUAGAACAAAUCCCUUUCCUCUUGGUCA